AAACAGUGGGAACAAGUAGAAGACUGU
rnacentral:piRNA from 1 species